rnacentral:rRNA from 1 species
AUUGAACGCUGGCGGCAGGCCUAACACAUGCAAGUCGAGCGGAUGAAGAGAGCUUGCUCUCUGAUUCAGCGGCGGACGGGUGAGUAAUGCCUAGGAAUCUGCCUGAUAGUGGGGGACAACGUUUCGAAAGGAACGCUAAUACCGCAUACGUCCUACGGGAGAAAGCAGGGGACCUUCGGGCCUUGCGCUAUCAGAUGAGCCUAGGUCGGAUUAGCUAGUAGGUGGGGUAAAGGCUCACCUAGGCGACGAUCCGUAACUGGUCUGAGAGGAUGAUCAGUCACACUGGAACUGAGACACGGUCCAGACUCCUACGGGAGGCAGCAGUGGGGAAUAUUGGACAAUGGGCGAAAGCCUGAUCCAGCCAUGCCGCGUGUGUGAAGAAGGUCUUCGGAUUGUAAAGCACUUUAAGUUGGGAGGAAGGGCAGUAAGUUACUACCUUGCUGUUUUGACGUUACCAACAGAAUAAGCACCGGCUAACUUCGUGCCAGCAGCCGCCGUAACAC